UACGUAGGUGGCAAGCGUUGUCCGGAUUUACUGGGCGUAAAGGGCGUGCAGGCGGUCUGUUAAGUUCAGGGUGAAAAGCUCCCGGCUCAACUGGGAGAGGUCCUUGGAUACUGGCAGACUUGAGGGAGGUAGAGGAGAGUGGAAUUCCCGGUGUAGUGGUGAUAUGCGUAGAUAUCGGGAGGAACACCAGUGGCGAAGGCGGCUCUCUGGGCCUUUCCUGACGCUGAGACGCGAAAGCGUGGGGAGCGAACCGG
rnacentral:rRNA from 1 species